UGAACCAUCGAGUCUUUGAACGCAAGUUGCGCCCGAAACCAGUAGGUCGAGGGCACGCCUGCCUGGGCGUCACGCAUCGAGUCGCCCCCCAAAGCUCCCCUCUCGGGCGUUGGGGGCGCGAACGUUGGCCUCCCGUGCAUGUUUACUGCUGCGCGGCUGGCCCGAAAUAUGGUUUUCUCGGCGACGCGUCGCGGGACGAGUUUUGGACGACUGCGUCCGACUCCGUGUCGCCGUGCGAAACUCCCGGGACCUUCUAAUCUCGUCUCCUUCUCGGGGGAGACGGAGCUCACCAGUGCGACCCCAGGU
rnacentral:rRNA from 1 species